rnacentral:ncRNA from 1 species
CCACAUAACUAAGCGCCAGGACUUAAGUGAAAAGGAAGCUCCUUUUCAUUGCAUUCAAAUGAGUAAGUUCCACUAGCCAAAUCAUAGAUUUGGAGUGUCACUUAAGUUGACGAGGAUGGGGAGUAUCGAAUCUUCGGCGGGUGCCCCACGGUAUCGCACUACCGUUAACGAUUGAUAAAGACAGGAAGUGAUUCCUGUUACAAAGCAAUCCGGUGUAAAAC